AUGCCGCCUGCCGGAUUUGGCCACCUAGUAGUCCUGGAUCCAUUCGCGCGGGGGAGCCUGGUCAUUGGGAAGAAAGAAGGGACGAAGUCAGAAGGGUGGGGGAGGGGAACGUGGUCGUCGCGCCGAGCCACCUCCUCCAGAUCGGCCACCACAGAUCUCACCGUGGGGCGGUGGCUCGAGCUCGCCGGCCUCCUUUUCAACCUCGGCCUGUUGCAGGAAGGAGGAGGCCGAAGUCGCCGGAUCUGGUCACGGUGGUUGCUGGAAGGUGGCCGUGCGCCCUGGAUGUCGCCGGCGAUCUACAAGAAAAGGGCGGAUGGAGACGGCUAG
rnacentral:rRNA from 1 species